CGAAAUUAAUAUUUUUUUAUAUUCUAUAUACUAAACUUCAUUAGUUAGACAAUUAAGAAGUGAAUUUUUUAUGGAAUAUAAUAAAUAAUACGGUAUAAUGCUGAUCAAAAAAUAAUUCAAUUCCUCAUUUUUAUCAUUCAACAUUUAACUUGCCAGCUAUACAAUGCCAAAAAAUCUAGUGAUGUAGAUGAUGGAAGGUUCCAGCUAUUCGUUAGCAACUAUAAAUAUUCAGACAUCAAUGAAAAUUAUAGAAAAAAAAAUCAAAAAUUUGAGGCAAGCUCAAUACCACCGCAUAAGAGUGAGCUUUAUCAACAACUUUUGAGGGCCCACUAUAUUUCUUCUAUUUGGAGAAAUGCUUACAAAAAGCAACUGACAACUUUAGACCCAUUGGAGUAUGGUUGGAUUGAGCAGGACAACAUAUAUGCCUUCAAAGGGUUCGAAGGUGACCAACUUCCAUAUUUUGUGAGUGACUUAAUCACCAAUGUUCCUGUAUUCGAUUCAAUGGUUGAUGAAGACGAGUCGCCUAACGAUAAAGAUGACUCGGAUGAUGAUGAUGAUGAAUGAAGAUUGAUAUAUAUAUAUAAUAUGUAAUGCAUGCAUGAUAUAUUUUUUUAACUGAUUUAACACUUUUAAAUUUUGUCUUGACGAAAUAAAAAUGAGGAAUUGAAUUCUUUUUUGAUCAGCA